ensembl:lncRNA
UUUUUUUUCUUAUUUUUUUCUUUCUUUUUUUUCUUUUUUCUUUUUUUUUUUUUUUUUUUUCUCUGUACUCAUCAGAAUGGGAUACUCCACGACUGUCUCGACCAACUCAGUGCCAGGACACAUGCUCUAGAGGACUUCUGGACUCGCAGCUACAACUGUACAAGUGCACACAAGAAAAUCUACCCUGUUAUCCUCCACCCACUGACUGAGGAUCGAAUUGCACAUUUCUCUUAACCAUGACAGGAGAAAGCAAACAGUGAAACAGAAUCAUGGGUGAGCUUUCUCACUUUCCCUCUUGUUUUCAUUGGUUUGUCCAUACCAUUCUAAUUAUCAUGAAAGGGCUCUGCGUAUAGAGACAUUGCUUCACUGACUUCCUGGAUCACCGAAAACCAUCAGGGUUGAAAUUUCAUCCAAGUCUUUCGUGACGCCCAGCAAAUAUUCCCCCUCGGAUUAUUUUACACCUUGAGGGCAUUUUGGUCUUCAGUUCAACACUCUUGCUCUGUUCCCAAAUGGGGCACUAUUUAGGGGAAUUUAAAGAGAAAGCUGAGAAGAAUAAACAUUUACCGAGUUCUCUUGGCAUUCAGUCUCUGAAAAACCACAGUAUAAACUAUUCAUGCUGCUUCUUACAUCUGUCAAAUCGAAAAUUAAAAGCCAUAAAAGUGUAACACUGAAAAUAUGGCAUUAAAAAGGAUAAAGGUGGCCUUUGUAAAAAUAACAAGAAAAGUAUAUUAGCCAAUAAAAUAUUCUAACUCUUCAUUUAAAAGUGCAUCCUGGGCAGGACAGAGAUGAAGCUGAAGUGUUGGGACUCCAGAAGGAUCCCUCCCCGCCGUCAAAACGUGAACAGUAUAGGUCCAAAACCGUACAAUGCAAAUCACAACUCUUCGUGUAGCAGCAAAACCACAGCAGUUUUUAAAAAGAUUAAAAAAAGAUUUUUGUUUUCAAAUCCGUAUCGUCUUCCAGCCUCACCCUCUGAGCCUUGAAGAUGGGGCGGGGAGAAUACCUACAUUGGUCCUUGUGUUUCGUUGGUGUUUUGUUUUGUUGUUGUUGUUGUUGUUUUUUAAACCAGGGGCAAAAAUCCCUAAGUUCCUCUGGGGAGAAGCAGAGAUGGUGGCAGCAGGAAGGCUGGGCCUGCUUGGUGGGUCCAAGACGUGCUGGCUUCUCUGGGCUAGAGGCCACCGAGGGAGGGCUGCUUCCUCUGAGAUGCUUAAUGACAGGAAGCGGCUUUAUUUGCUUGAGUUUCAGCCAGAGGGGGUGGUGAGCUGACCAGCUGGUGUCAUUGGAUGGCGAGACAUAGUUUGCUCUGUGCCCUCUCUCCACGCAAGGUACCCUGUGAGUGAGCGUUCCUAGAAAAAGAGGACAAGGGGUUUGUUAGAAUCCGCCAGACCAACCCCCCACCCCCCUACCCCACCCCCAGGCUGGGGAGAACCCAGGCAUGAGUCAGAGCAGCAGUCUCCAGCCGUCAGGUCAGACUGAGAUGAGGCCCCAGCAGUGAGGCGGCACAGCCUGAUUUCCACACGACUUUCAUUCACGGUUCUGCACAGAGUCAGCCCUGCCAGCUUUGUGUGAGGAAAUGAAACUCGAGUCGCUUUUUGGAAUACCAUAAUGAGCGUGGCGCACCACGCCCUCACCCAGAGACCGCAACAGCAUCCUUUGCAACCAGGCAACUUUCACUCUCCACGUUACUGCACGCUUCACUGGCGGGAGGUGCCUUGGAGUUGCCCAAGGUCACCUCAAAGCCAAGCAAGGUGACUGGGGAAUCCUGGUGCUAUGGACCUCACCCCCGUGCCCUCGGGUAACAGCCCUGGGGUUUGCUGCAAAGGAAAAAGGCCAUGACAUGGAAUUUUCAGCAUGUGAAAAAUUCCUGGGAGGUGUAGACCUCUCUUCAAAGGUUUCUUCCAGGGGCAACUGAGCCGGAAGAAGUGUCCCUCUCUGUGGGACUCGCCUGACAAAAGUAAGCCAUUCACAUCCCUCCAAAGCCAAAUCAAGCAUGGGAUUGGAUCCCUGGGCAGAGGGUCUGAACAGUACCGUUCACCGGGAAAGUCAGUUUCUGGGGAACGCCCAUCCCAACUUCCACCACAGAUUUGGGGCUCUGCCUCUCUAUCCCUACUGGUUUAUUUCAUUUGCUACCAGUCUCUCGGUUUGAAACACAACCUCCUGAGGACACCCCCAGGAAGCCCAGCCACGCAGAAGUUGGGCAGCCAAACUGAGGUCUGGGGCUGUCUGUUUUGCUCACAUCCCUACACCCAGCCCCAAGUCUGGCUCGACACAUGUUUGUCAAAUGAAUGAGAGUCAAACAGCUCCUGUCCCCCAUGUCCCCAAACAGGACCUUUUUUCCUGCCAAUAAAUGGGGAUGUGAGAAAUAUGAAUGGGUAAAAUUUGGCUCACAUGAGGUGGUGACAGAGGACUCGUAAACAUCUUUACAACUGUUGAGAUUAUUCCUAGAACAAUGAACAAAUAAUUACAGGUGGCAGAAUGUGGAACUUGAAGGGACCCCAGAGAUAAUAUACACAAUGUCCUCACUUUAUAGCUGAAGAAAUGGAGGCCACAAAGAGACCUGGAAACUUGCUCAGAGUGUCUGUAGCAUGAAUUUAGUACAAGUGUGAGGAGGUCAAAAUGCCCACGGGAAGGACUCCGUCCAAGCUUGUGCUUUGAACCCCGCUGUCCAAAUCCUGGUGUUAACGGUAACGAUAAUAAUGAUCAGCCAAAAACAAGGCUUGAAAAUCUGAAUGUGCAUGACAGGAAAUGCCUGAGUUCCCCAAAUCACAUUAAAUCACCAGGUCUGUGUGCAUUUAAUAUUUAUAUUAAAUAACCAAAGUGAAAAUGCAAAACACCACAAAUAUGCAAUGGGAGUGGAAUUACAAGGCCAUGGAAACCUUUUCAUUUGGCAUGGUCAGAUUUGGAAAUGUGGAUUAUUUAUCUCUGAAUAAAGGGCUUACUUUAAUUUCUUUUCUUUCUUUCUCUUUCUUCCUUUCUCUCUCUUUCUCUCCUUGUUUCUUUCAGUUUCUCUUUCCUCAUUCUUUCUCUUUCUUUCUUUUGACAAUGGCAAGAAGAGAUGCAAAACUAAAAUCUCCAAGAGCUACCAUCAAAUGAGAGGUCACAAAGGAUUGGGAAGGGACCUCGGAAAUGACAAAUGGAUCCAAAGACAGUGUAGCUUCUUCUGGGGACAAUUCUCUUUUGUUUAGGAAGCACAAGCUAGAACUUGCUAUGGAGGGAGGAAAGCCUUCCCCAUCUCUGGGCUUGGGACCAAGAGUGACCAAAUCUUAUAGUCAGCGGGGACUUCUGAAUCCUUUCUUUGAAAAGGAAAAGAAAAAAGAAAAAAAAAAAAGAUGUUUAAUGCUUUCUUCCAGUGACUGGGAAACACCAUGGUUCUGAAUUACUUAAGAAUGCUACAAUUGCUUUUUCAAGGAUGUAGCUUUCUUUCUGAAUGUAAUCUUGACCCUCCAAAAGAGGAAAAUCUCUCAAAUAAGUUCCCUUACAUUAAAAUCGCCUUUGGACAAAGGCCAAACAUGGACAGUGUCAGCUUACUUGGAGACAAUCUCAAGGCUUUCAUAAGGGACUGGGAAAACGGGAUUAUAAUGAGAGCCAUUCUGGAACCUUAACUACAGCGUUUGCCAUCCCAAACACUAUAAUAAUCAUCAUUAUUUUCUGGUAUCUAUUAUUGUCUAGUAAAUAAUAUGUGUUUUCCCCCAAAGUUCUAAAGGGUGCAGCUGCACCACACUCUAUUUUUUGCAGCCCCACUCCUGCUGCUCGGAAAGCCUCCUCACACCAGGCUUAUUUUAAGAGAAUGGCAAAGGAGACGAUCUGUGCUCUGUGCCCUUCGUUUCCUUCCCUCUCACCACACACUCGCCGAGUCUGGAGUCGGGGACACCUGCCAGGCCACAGAGUGGCCAGAGGGUGGUGAUCUCUAGGGACAUUUGAGGAGGGGGUGGACGGAAGUCAUCCUCAUUUGUCCUUUUGGUUCUGGCUGGUUCUGGGUAGGCCCUUGCUGGUGACACAGGAUGGACUCUGGAAUCAAUGAAGAACCAAGCUUGGGUGUCCCCUUCCUGAGAACUACUGGUUUGCAAGGUAUGAAACUCAAAAGCGGGGAGGAAGCAAGCUUGGAUUUUUAGAAAGUGACCAUGGCAGGAAGGUCCAGAGCCAGAGCUGGUUCCAACUUGGCCUGCACCACGCAGAGGCACCUUAUGGCACAGCCUGUCCUCUCUGUCUACAUUUCUUGAUCUGAGCAAAGAAGAAAUUACUACAAUAAGUGAGACAGAGACGCAGGUAACAGGCCAGUGUGACUCCUAAGUAGCCAUGUGACCUUGAGCCUAUUCCUUAACCUCCUCAAGCCUGGAUUCUUCCUCUGUGAAAUGAAGGCCUGAGUGAGGUUUUUCUAUUACAUCUUCCAUCUCUCAUAUUCUGUGACUGUAGGAUCUUUGAGCUAAAGCCACAUCAAGUUGUUAUUAAUGAGUAAGAAAGACUAUGAAUUUCUUGACCCUGAAGUCCCAAGUUUCAAAGUCUUCUAUCAAUCACACAUACACACUCACCUUUGGUAGGGAUUUUUGGAAUGUCCCUUAAUGCAGGAGGUUCUGGGGAAGUGGCUCUACUUGUGCCAUCUGGGUUUUCCUCUGAAUUGAGGGCUUGUCUGAAGGCAUGACAACUCAGGGCCCUGUUCUACGCACACAGACACACAGAGCCCACCCCAGGUACUGGGUAUGCACCAUAUAUGAAGACCAGCUCCAUAGCACAUGGACUCCAGCGGGCAUGUACAACCAGGUGUCCUCAGAACACCAGGUCCAGCUGCCCCUUUUGGCCAGAAGAAUGAAGAGUGUCCCCCAUGGAGUCAUGGUGGCACACCAAGUGCAUUGCGUGCGCCUCUGUCCCCCGGCACUUUCCCUUUUCAUCAGGAAAGCACUGCUAAGAAUGUACUGCGUGACUUCUCCUCCUUCAUCACAGCAUUUUCAGAACAUUAGAGAAAACAAAAAUAGGCCUGAGGAUCAAUAACUUCUUUCAAUGUCGAUACUGUCAACAUAGAGUCACUCUCACCUUUUCUUCUUUGGCCUUUACAGCCUAAGACAUAUGCUGGUUACAUUUAAAAGGAAAUGUUAUCAUUUCCAGGCAACCACUCCCCAAAGUAAGUGUGCCUCCAGAGAAAUUGUCUCUUAUUCUACAUGCCAACAUUUCCAAGACAGUCCCUCUGUGGUACAAGAUUCCACCUCUACCAGGAAGCCUGCCUCCAUUAAUCUAAUCCAUUUUCCAAACCUGUAUUCUUCUUUGCUUUCUCAAAUACCUUUGCAUUGGCAUAAUCAAAAUCCAGUAGGUCUGUCCUAUCUUAUGUGUCUAGAAAACAAGUUCACUGGGACUGUCAUAUUUAUUCCCCGGAGUCCAAAAACCUUUGGCAUCAACUCUGUGAUGUGCAAGAAAUGCCCACUGCCAGGCUGGCUUGCUUUUGUCCAGUGACCCAGGCCCUGCCCGUGAUGCCACUCACUUGGGCACGUUGGCCCAUCACUUAUUACGGUUAAAUACAGCUAUUACGUGCUGGCUCUGGCCACGCUGUUUAUCUGGGACAAUAAUGAGUCCCUCAGGACUGGGCUGCUCUCAGGUAGCCGCAGCUAUUCUUGGACACUCACAAGGGUACAGACCUGUGGUCAAUGAACAGAGCCACCUGUAGCAGCUGAUAAGCCCGGUGUGAUGCCAGAUAGUGAAUGGUCUCUGCACUAAGCUCAUCCCAGAAGGGCCAGGGCUUGGUGAGGUCUGCCAAAAAAGUGAUUCCCUUUCUCCCCCAUCACCAUUGCUGCAUGAAAAGUUUUGAAGUGGCUUUUACCAAGUUGGAAACCAUUUUCAUUUACGAAGUAGAUGGCAUCUCUUUUCUUAUAGCUUCCUAAUUGAUGAAAGUAAUUUAAAAACACCCCUUCUCCUUUCUAGAGUGAUUGGUAUGGGAAAUAACCUGUGGUGAGGAAAGGGCUGUGGGACCAAGGGUAAGCUUCAGCUCAGCUCAGUGCUGGGCUCUGAUCUCAAUUACAACUCCAUCACCAUGGUGCUGCCCACCCUGUGGCUCUGAUAAGCUAAGGCUCAUAUGUUUAAAAAAAAACAAAAAACAAAAAAAACUUAAACCAAACACAAGGCCUUGCUUUUAUUUUCUUUCUUUUUGUCUUUUUGCCUUUUCUAGGGCCACUCUCAUGGCAUAGGGAGGUUCUCAGGCUAGGUGUCCCAUCAGAGCUGUUGCUGCCGCUCUGAUUAAACCCCUAACCUGGGAACUUCCAGAUACCUCGGGUGUGGCUCUAAAAAGCAAAAAGAAAAAAAAAAAAAAAAAAAAAAAAAAA